GACGAACGCUGGCGGCGUGCCUAAUACAUGCAAGUCGAACGCUGAAGGAGGAGCUUGCUUCUCUGGAUGAGUUGCGAACGGGUGAGUAACGCGUAGGUAACCUGCCUGGUAGCGGGGGAUAACUCUUGGAAACGCUAGCUAAUACCGCAUAAGAGUAGAUGUUGCAUGACAUUUGCUUAAAAGGUGCAAUUGCAUCACUACCAGAUGGACCUGCGUUGGAUUAUCUAGUUGGUGAGGUAACGGCUCCACAAGGCAACGAUACAUAGCCGACCUGGGAGGGGGGUCGGCCACACUGGGACUGAGACAAGGGCCAGACUUCUUCGGGAGGCAGCAGGAGGGGAUCCUCGGGAAAUGACGGAAGGCUGACCGGGGAACGGCGCGGGGGGGAAGAAGGUUCUCGGAUCGGAAAGAUCCUUUGUAAGAGAAGAAAGAGUGUGAGAGGGGAAAGUUCACACUGUGACGGUAUCUUACCAGAAAGCGACGGCUAACUACGUG
rnacentral:rRNA from 1 species